rnacentral:lncRNA from 1 species
CUGUGACCACUGAUCUAUAAUAUAGAAUAUAUAUAUAUAUAUAGAUCAGUGGCUGUGACUGACCAAGCAGGGAACUUUUUCUUCAACGGUGCGUAUAAAGUGGACACCCCUCAGAACUUCCACGCAGCAGGGACAAAUACCAUUUUCAAAUACCGGCGGCCUACUGAUGUGCAUGAGACGGGGAUCGAGUACAUUGUGGCAAAAGGGCCCAUCGAUCAGCCCAUCAAUGUUCUGGUCUGGAACCAAAAUGGCCAAAAUCCUCAUAUCACCUACGAGUACACAGUGAUGAGGGAAUCUAUGGCUUCUGUCUCCCAACCCCCCAUUUACACGGGCCCCCAAGGAGGAUCCAGUGUGGUGUCUGUGGAAAUCGGGAGUGUUUUACACCAUAAUGAGAGCAUGUAUGAUAAGACAGUCCCUGAGAUGAAGGGAAACCAGGGGAACUGCAGCUGGAGUGGAGUAGGAGCCCCUGGUGUAGGACCCGCGAGCAGACCUGCGGAGGACAUAGGAAACUCUGAAAACCUCAUCUGGAGAAUGCUGCUGGGAGAGCGGAUUGGCUCCAAUGGUGUUCUUCCCAACAUCUCAACCAAUCAGCUUCUUACUCGAAGAGAUGGCUUUUUCUCUGAAGGCCCAUGGUGUUAG